AAUCCAUAGGUUAAUGAGGCGAACCGGGGGAACUGAAACAUCUAAGUACCCCGAGGAAAAGAAAUCAACCGAGAUUCCCCCAGUAGCGGCGAGCGAACGGGGAGGAGCCCAGAGCCUGAAUCAGCAUGUGUGUUAGUGGAAGCGUCUGGAAAGGCGCGCGAUACAGGGUGACAGCCCCGUACACAAAAGCGCAUGUGCUGUGAGCUCGAUGAGUAGGGCGGGACACGUGGUAUCCUGUCUGAAUAUGGGGGGACCAUCCUCCAAGGCUAAAUACUCCUGACUGACCGAUAGUGAACCAGUACCGUGAGGGAAAGGCGAAAAGAACCCCGGCGAGGGGAGUGAAAAAGAACCUGAAACCGUGUACGUACAAGCAGUGGGAGCACAGGUUUACCUGUGUGACUGCGUACCUUUUGUAUAAUGGGUCAGCGACUUAUAUUCUGUAGCAAGGUUAACCGUAUAGGGGAGC
rnacentral:rRNA from 3 species